UACGUAGGGGGCAAGCGUUGUCCGGAUUCAUUGGGCGUAAAGAGCGUGUAGGCGGCCAGGUAGGUCGGUUGUGAAAACUGGAGGCUCAACCUUCAGAGGUCGACCGAAACCAUCUGGCUAGAGUCCGGGAGAGGAGAGUGGAAUUCCCGGUGUAGCGGUGAAAUGCGUAGAGAUCGGGAGGAACACCAGUGGCGAAGGCGGCUACCUGGACCAGCACUGACACUGAGGCACGAAAGCGUGGGGAGCAAACAGG
rnacentral:rRNA from 1 species